rnacentral:tRNA from 1 species
GCAGGGGUUCCCGAGUGGUCAAAGGGGUAGACUCAAGUUCUACUGCGCAAGCUUCGUGGGUUCAAAUCCCACCUUCUGCA